rnacentral:tRNA from 2 species
GCCCGAGUGGCGAAAUGGCAGACGCAGCAGACUCAAAAUCUGCCGAGGUCAACCCUCAUGUCGGUUCGAGUCCGACCUCGGGCACCA